UUAACAAAAGUCAGUAAAGAAAAAUAUUUUCUAACUUCCAACGACAGAAAGACGAAAGAAGCACGCGGAGAAAGUUAAUUAAAGGUUCCUCCUGCCACUUUGGGCUUUCAGACCUGCAACUGUCCUGUCACCAGCCAACUUUUCCUGCCCUCAGGCUCCCAAGUCAUGGCCUAUUUCCUGACCGCUUAGAGAUUUGCUGGUUGGAUGGAAGUGUACUCAACAGGCUUUCAGUGCAGGAUGACCUGCUGGCUUUCACAACAUGGGCAGAAAGAUCAGCAGCUCGUGGCGGCUGGUGGAAUCCGGUGGGCGAAUGAAACGCAACAGCUGAUGUUUUCAUGAUGCAAUCCCGGCAUAAAGUGGACAAACCGCAACUGUAAGAUUUCCUGUAAGCGAGGAGUCUUCCCAGAAAAAGGGCCCUGUCCAGACACAGCAGAUACUCUGAAGACUCUGAAGUUCAAUACCAGGUCACACCAGCAGGUUGACCAGAAUCCACCUCCAGUGUGCCUGAAGACCCUGAAGGACCUCGAUGAUGCUGGGUGGAGCAGCCUGCGAGCAAGCUUAACAGGUUAGUUUUCCUGCAUUACAG